AAAGCUCAAAUUUGAAAUCUGGCAGUCUUUGAUUGUCCGAGUUGUAAUCUAGAGAAGUGUUACCCGCGUUGGACCGUGUAAAAGUCUCCUGGAAUGGAGCGUCAUAGAGGGUGAGAAUCCCGUCUUUGACACGGACUGCCAAGGCUUUGUGGUGCGCUCUCAAAGAGUCGAGUUGUUUGGGAAUGCAGCUCAAAAUGGGUGGUAAAUGCCAUCUAAAGCUAAAUAUUGGCGAGAGACCGAUAGCGAA
rnacentral:rRNA from 1 species